UAGUCCACGCCGUAAACGAUGGACACUAGUUGUUGGGAUUUAUCUCAGUGACUAAGCGAAAGUGAUAAGUGUCCCACCUGGGGAGUACGAUCGCAAGAUUGAAACUCAAAGGAAUUGACGGGGGCCCGCACAAGCGGUGGAGCAUGUGGUUUAAUUCGAUGAUACGCGAGGAACCUUACCAGGGCUUAAAUGUAGUCUGACAGCUUUAGAGAUAGAGUUUUCUUCGGACAGAUUACAAGGUGCUGCAUGGUUGUCGUCAGCUCGUGCCGUGAGGUGUCAGGUUAAGUCCUAUAACGAGCGCAACCCCUGUUGUUAGUUGCCAGCGAGUAAUGUCGGGAACUCUAGCAAGACUGCCGGUGCAAACCGCGAGGAAGGUGGGGAUGACGUCGAAUCAUCACGGCCCUUACGUCCUGGGGCCACACACGUGCUACAAUGGCCAGUACAGAGAGCAGCCACUUAGUGAUAAGGAGCGAAUCUAUAAAGCUGGUCACAGUUCGG
rnacentral:rRNA from 1 species